UACGUAGGGUGCGAGCGUUAAUCGGAAUUACUGGGCGUAAAGCGUGCGCAGGCGGUUUUGCAAGACAGAUGUGAAAUCCCCGGGCUUAACCUGGGAACUGCAUUCGAGACUGUCUAGCUAGAGUAUGGGAGAGGGAAGUGGAAUUUCAGGUGUAGCGGUGAAAUGCGUAGAUAUCUGAAGGAACAUCAGUGGCGAAAGCGACUUCCUGGACCAAUACUGACGCUCAUGUGCGAAAGCGUGGGGAGCAAACAGG
rnacentral:rRNA from 1 species